UUCUCCAAAACCCAACCCCAUAAAAUUUACUCCGCAUUUUCUUCUCUAGUGUCACCACAUCUUUAUCGGAUUCCAAGUUACUUCCAAGAUUCAAAAAUAGAUUCACCACAUCUUUAACAAUAAACUUUGAAGCUAAAGUUGUUGCUAAGCCAAGAAGAGGUAAAAAUCUUAUUUUGAUCUAUUUUUGGAUCUUAAUAAAAG
rnacentral:lncRNA from 1 species